rnacentral:rRNA from 1 species
ACGAACGCUGGCGGCAGGCCUAACACAUGCAAGUCGAGCGCCCCGCAAGGGGAGCGGCGGCCGGGUGAGUAACGCGUGGGAACGUACCCUUUGCUACGGAAUAGCCUCGGGAAACUGGGAGUAAUACCGUAUGUGUCCUUCGGGAGAAAGAUUUAUCGGCAAGGGAUCGGCCCGCGUUGGAUUAGGUAGUUGGUGGGGUAAUGGCCUACCAAGCCGACGAUCCAUAGCUGGUUUGAGAGGAUGAUCAGCCACACUGGGACUGAGACACGGCCCAGACUCCUACGGGAGGCAGCAGUGGGGAAUCUUAGACAAUGGGCGCAAGCCUGAUCUAGCCAUGCCGCGUGAGCGAUGAAGGCCUUAGGGUUGUAAAGCUCUUUCAGGGGGGAAGAUAAUGACUGUACCCCCAGAAGAAGCCCCGGCUAACUCCGU